rnacentral:ncRNA from 1 species
GGGGCGCAUUUAUUAGAUAAAAGGCUGACGUGGGCUCUGCUCGCUGAUCCGAUGAUUCAUGAUAACUCGACGGAUCGCAUGGCCUUUGUGCCGGCGACGCAUCAUUCAAAUUCAUGCCCUAUCAACUUUCGAUGGUAGGAUAGGGGCCUACCAUGGUGGUGACGGGUGACGGAGAAUUAGGGUUCGAUUCCGGAGAGGGAGCCUGAGAAACGGCUACCACAUCCAAGGAAGGCAGCAGG